UAAAAGGAUUUUUUUAAAUCCCCAAUUCAUAGUCAAGAGCACAAUG
rfam:Canis lupus familiaris chromosome 29, whole genome shotgun sequence.